AGUGAACGCUGGCGGUAGGCCUAACACAUGCGAGUCGAACGGCAGCACAGUAAGAGCUUGCUCUUACGGGUGGCGAGUGGCGGACGGGUGAGGAAUACAUCGGAAUCUACUUUUUCGUGGGGGAUAACGUAGGGAAACUUACGCUAAUACCGCAUACGACCUACGGGUGAAAGCAGGGGAUCUUCGGACCUUGCGCGAUUGAAUGAGCCGAUGUCGGAUUAGCUAGUUGGCGGGGUAAAGGCCCACCAAGGCGACGAUCCGUAGCUGGUCUGAGAGGAUGGUCGGCCACACUGGAGCUGAGACACGGUCCAGACUCCUACGGGAGGCAGCAGUGGGGAAUAUUGGACAAUGGGCGCAAGCCUGAUCCAGCCAUACCGCGUGGGUGAAGAAGGCCUUCGGGUCGUAAAGCCCUUUUGUUGGGAAAGAAAAGCAGCAGGUUAAUACCCCGCUGUUCUGACGGUACCCAAAGAAUAAGCACCGGCUAACUUCGUG
rnacentral:rRNA from 1 species